GGGCGCCAAAUGUAUGACCUACGUUGCCUCGUGCAACAACGGCACAAACUUUUGCCAAAGGAGGCAGCUCGAAUAUAGGAGGCAGGGGUCGUGGGUGCUCGGCUGGGGCAAAAAAACUAACCAGUCACACUAAACGGAGGGACAUCACGGCUUGAGUAGGGGACGCACAAUAGUAACUUAUAAGUCUGACGCUCGACAAAUAAAAUGGACUGCUAGCGGAAUAAGGCCUUAUUGGGGUAGCGAUCUUAGAUUAAGUUAAAUGUCGAACGGAUGAUUAGGUACACCUGCAGCGGUGCAGCUACGGAUUCCUAAACUGAUUUAAGGGUGAUCGCCUUGCCCACAAUCUUAAUGCUGGUAUAGACCCGACAUGCUUCACGACAGGAGCGGUAGGUAAGUAAAAUUAGUCUGACCUUGCUUUUGAUCUAAUUCAAACUGGUGGAAUUACGGAUGUCCAAAAAGGUGGUUGAAGCCGGGGUUUUUCCACAGGACUCUUAUCAGAUUGGGUCUCCACUAGUCGCUAUCAGAUUGGGCUCGUUAGAUAAUACCAGAGAAUAGGAAAGCGGCCUAUGGAUUAAUGGGUCUUAAUAAAAAGUGAUCGGAGAUUGUACUCACCAGUGGUAUAAAGUUUAAAUUUAAAACAAUUAUAUUCAGCUCAACAACUGACCACCAGCCUCGCCUUAUA